rnacentral:rRNA from 1 species
CUACGGGCCGCUCCAGUGAGGAAUAUUGCACAAUGGGGGGAACCCUGAUGCAGCAACGCCGCGUGGAGGAUGACGCAUUUCGGUGUGUAAACUCCUUUUAUAUGUCAAGAAAAUGACGGUAGCAUAUGAAUAAGCACCGGCUAACUCCGUGCCAGCAGCCGCGGUAAUACGGAGGGUGCAAGCGUUACACGGAACCACUGGGCGUAAAGGACGCGUAGGCGGGUUGGAAAGUCAGGUGUGAAAUCCUACAGCUUAACUGUAGAACUGCACUUGAAACUUCUAAUCUAGAGUAUGGGAGGGGGAGAUGGAAUUAGUGGUGUAGGGGUAAGAUCCGUAGAUAUCACUAGGAAUACCUAAAGCGAAGGCGAUCUCCUGGAACAUUACUGACGCUAAGGCGUGAAAGCGUGGGGAGCAAACAGGAUUAGAUACCCCCGUAGUC